rnacentral:rRNA from 1 species
UACAGAGGGUGCGAGCGUUAUUCGGAAUUACUGGGCGUAAAGCGCACGUAGGCGGCUUUGCAAGUCGGGUGUGAAAUCCCCGGGCUCAACCUGGGAACUGCAUCCGAGACUGCAUUGCUAGAGUAUGGGAGAGGGAAGCGGAAUUUCUGGUGUAGCAGUGAAAUGCGUAGAGAUCGGAAGGAACAUCAGUGGCGAAGGCGGCUACCUGGACUGACACUGACACUGAGGCGCGAAAGCGUGGGUAGCAAACAGG